ACUAACAAGGAUUCCCCUAGUAACUGCGAGUGAAGCGGGAAGAGCUCAAAUUUAAAAUCUGGCGGUCUUCGGCCGUCCGAGUUGUAUUCUGGAGAAGUGCUUUCCGCGCUGGACCGUGUAUAAGUCUCUUGGAACAGAGCGUCAUAGAGGGUGAGAAUCCCGUCUUUGACACGGACUACCAGUGCUUUGUGAUGCGCUCUCAAAGAGUCGAGUUGUUUGGGAAUGCAGCUCAAAAUGGGUGGUAAAUUCCAUCUAAAGCUAAAUAUUGGCGAGAGACCGAUAGCGAACAAGUACCGUGAGGGAAAGAUGAAAAGCACUUUGGAAAGAGAGUUAAACAGUACGUGAAAUUGUUGAAAGGGAAACGCUUGAAGUCAGUCGCGUUGGCCGGGACUCAGCCUUGCCUUUCGCUUGGUGUAUUUUCCGGUUGACGGGCCAGCAUCGAUUUUGACUGCUGGACAAGGGCUGGAGGAAUGUGGCACCUCCGGGUGUGUUAUAGCCUCUGGUCGUAUACAGUAGUUGGGAUCGAGGACCGCAGCUUCGGCUUAGGAUGCUGGCGUAAUGGCUUUAAACGACCCGUCUUGAAACACGGACCAAGGAGUCUAACAUGCCUGCGAGUAUUUGGGUGGAAAACCCGGAUGCGUAAUGAAAGUGAAAGUUGAGACCUCUGUCGUGGAGGGCAUCGACGCCCGGACCUGAUCUUCGGUGACGGAUCUGCGGUAGAGCAUGUAUGUUGGGACCCGAAAGAUGGUGAACUAUGCCUGAAUAGGGUGAAGCCAGAGGAAACUCUGGUGGAGGCUCGUAGCGAUUCUGACGUGCAAAUCGAUCGUCAAAUUUGGGUAUAGGGGCGAAAGACUAAUCGAACCAUCUU
rnacentral:rRNA from 1 species